rnacentral:rRNA from 1 species
UUUCAACAACGGAUCUCUAGGCUCUUGCAUCGAUGAAGAACGCAGUGAAAUGCGAUAAGUAAUGUGAAUUGCAGAAUCUCGUGAAUCAUUGAAUCUUUGAACGCACAUUGCGCCCUAUGGUAUUCCAUUGGGCAUGCCUGUCUGAGCGUCAGCUC